GACCGGCCACAUUGGGACUGAGACACGGCCCAAACUCCUACGGGAGGCAGCAGUGGGGAAUAUUGCACCAUGGGGGUAACCCUGAUGCAGCGACGCCGCGUGAGCGAUGAAGUAUUUCGGUAUGUAAAGCUCUAUGAGCAGGGAAGAAAAUGACGGUACCUGACUAAGAAGCACCGGCUAAAUACGUGCCAGCAGCCGCGGUAAUACG
rnacentral:rRNA from 1 species